UUUCUUGGGGAAGGAAUACUCGUUUCCUCAAAUAUUGCUGGGACCACUGGAUAUCCACCUGGCCAUUCCUCACAGAAGAUACAAAAUUAACUCCAAUUUAUCCCCCAAAUUAACUAAAAAUAGACCUAAAGGUAUAACAAUAGAACCUAUCGAGUGGAUACUAUUAAUUGGGAGGAGACUCCCAGAAGUACGUUUAAGAAAUCAGGUGGUGAGGAAAUCACCUUUGUAGACUACCAGAAGGAGGUCUAACAGAUGAAAUGCAUAAAGACUACAGAGUGAAGAGAGACAUGGCUAUGCAUA